UUUUUGGCAAAGUUUUUGCCUUUUGUUUAGAGACCUAUCUAAGCCUAAUCAACAAAACGCGGGAGAUAUACCGCCAAUAAAAAGAUCAAAUAAAAAUUUUAGGGCCUGGAGGGAACUUUACCGCCAUUCGGCCAGCCAAAACGCUGGGCUUUAAUAAAAAAAGAGUAAAUAAUAUUGUCCGCAUUUGCUCGCAUAUAAAAGCCUAAGGAAAAAAAAAAGACUUUCGUCUCUGAACCCAGACUCAUAAACAUUGAGUGUAGCUGAACCCAGACUCAUGAACCUUUGUCUCUGAACAAUCCCUACGCCUUUACUAUCCAUCUCCAUUACUUUCAACUCACAAUCUCAAAUUCCAGGGUACUAUUAACGGCAAAAGCUAGCAAGGAUAUUAAGGAAUCAAGGGUACUAUUGUCGGCAAAUUUCAAGGUAAUUGAGAAAUCAAUCUUGUUCUCUCUUGCUUGCUACCUCCUUCUCAUGGAUAAGGUAAGCUAGUCGAUCUUCAGAAAGUUAUUUCAAUUUUGUUCUCUUGUUUCUGAAAUUGAUCUAUUCACAGAUUUGGUUGUUGUUAUUUUUGUGAGGUAACUACUGGUAGUUAUAAGGUUGUCGCUGUAUAUAUGCUUGCUAAUCUAUGUUUAGAGUUGAUUAAGCUUCUUGUUGUUAUUUUCUCCAUCAACUGGAAAUGUUGGGUUACUCUUUGUUGAUUGGUUAUGGUUGAUAAUUGCUAUUUUGUUAGGGGAAUGAGGUUUGAUUAUGAUGGGAAAGGUAAAAUGUUAAGUGUUAGGAGGGGACUGUAAGAGAAUAGCCAGAGUUAGAUUCAGCUUUGAUUACCAUGGCCAAGUUGCAAAUGACUUGCUGUUCUGGAGGUGCAAGGAGAAACUGAGUGUCAGGCUCUAUAUAUUUGUUUUUCCAAAUCCUCCAAGUUUCAUUACUUUAAGUGUCAAUUGUGUUUUGUCUUUGCUAUUUCUGCUGUUAGUAACAUGGUUCUUUUGUUUCUCUUUUUUGGUCUGAUACCUUUUUGAGCUUAACUAUAUAUGCAUAGCUUUGCUACCACACAUGAUUGUUUUCUAGGGGACUAAAUCCCCUUGGGGAGAUUUCCCUUCAUUUGGAUCCGCUUUGAGAUUUCAGUCAUUUCUCCUCACUUUGAUCCGUGUUGAGGGAUUUUACCUCAUUUAGAUCUGCUUUGAGGAGAUUUCACCUCACUAUAAUUAAUACGCCUUGUGGGAAUUUCACCUCACUUGGAUCCGUCUUGAGGAGAUUAAUUUCACUCACUAAGGUCCGUCUAGCUUGAGGGAAUUUAACCUCACUUGGAUCUGUUUUGAAGAGAUUUUACCUCACUUGGAUCUUCCUUAAGGAGAUUUCAUCUUGACUACUCUUUUAGCUCUUCUUCUUUAUCAGGUAAGACCUCGCUCUUUUGAUUCAUUUUUCCUUUGAGUGUAUUCUUUGGUUGGAGUGUUGGAAUUGAGUUAGAUAUUAGCUUUGAACAUAUAUAUAGAACUUUAUAGGUCUGAGUUGAUUUUCCUUCUGAAGUUCUAGGUAGUUCAUAAUAUAUGCAGCUUAUAUUAUGCAUGUAAGUAGAAUUGUGGUAAUAUCCAAAAAAAAAAACAAAGUAGAGUUGUGGUAUCCUGGUUCCGAUUUAACAUUUUUUUUUUUAUCUACUAAGGCGGUUAUUUUUGUUUUAGGUUGUUAGUUAUUUUGUAUUUGGUUUUACUAGUUAUUAUUAUUAUUAUUAUUUUUUAAUCAUUUGGUUUUGUUUCCAAGGGAUAAGGAUAGGUGGCUGACGGUCUGUUAGAGGAGGGAAGAGAAAGAAAGAAAAGGAACAGAGAGAGGGAUGGAAAGAAAGAAAGGGAACAGAGAGGGGAGGGAAAGAAAAAGAAGAGGGGGAGGAGGAGAAAGAAAGAGACCACGGAAAAAAAUAGAGAAGGAAGAAAGAAAACGGAGUCGAAGAUAAAAGUAGAUGUGUAAGGGGAAGAGAGUUUUUGACAUUUGAGAGAGAAAGAAUCAGGGUUUUAGUCUUGCAGACUUUUUUGUGAGUGUUUAAGAAAUCCAAGCCUAGAGUUUUGAUUACUGUAAGUUUGAAGGUGUGAGCAUGAUUUCAUGGUUUUGGGUUUCACCUUUGAGAUUUCCGGAGCUGGGGGUAUUUAAAGAGGCUGAGAUUUUUAGCAGAGGUUGAGCUUUAUUUCGGUGAACUCUAUGGCUUUUGCUUCUGUUUAAGAUACGAGUUCACUCGAUUUGGCUUUCCAUUAGCUAGAAGGGGAAGUUACCAAUUAUAAAAUUUGGAAGGACUUGGUCAUAAUCCCAAGAAAUAGGAACAAGAAAAAAUAUAAUCAUUGUGGUGGUUCACGUCCUUUCACGAAACACAUGGAAGCUGAAGAACAGAAAGGUAAAAAUGUGACCUGUUGAGAAUUGGGGUCUCAUGCAUCAACAUCGAGGCAGCAAUGGUGGUGUUUGGAUCAAUGAAGAAGCGGAGAGGACAGGGAAAAAUCUGAUUGAAGAGUUGAUUAAAACCAAGCAACAGUUGGCUGAGUCUGAGGAUACCCCAUUUGAAGAUGUUGUAGUGCCUAUCCCUAUGCAAUUAGAUAUCUUGGCUAAGGAGCUUGGAACUAUGAAGGGUAAGACCAUUCGAGGUGUGGGCUAUGGUCUUAAAAAGGACAGAUUUUGUUCUUAAAUCCCUGCAUCCACGUCUAACCCAACAAAUGCUCAAUUUAUGAGGUACAUUAUUCUAUUGGAAGAACGACUUACUUCUCUUGAGGGUGAGAAACAACCUCAACCUCCUACACAUGAUGUGGAUGAAGAGGGUGCUGAGGAGGGUGAUGAGGAUGAGAAUGAGGAUAUGGAUGUGCUUUAGGUGUUGAUAUCCUCAUUAGUUUUUUGCAAGUUAUAUUUUGGAUGUGUACAAAUGAAGCCAUGAUAUUUCCACAUGCAUAGAUAUCCCUUAGUUUAGGGCUUUGGCAGGUUUUUGGGUCUUAGAUGUCCUUAUUAGCUUUUGGAAGGAUACAAUUUGGAUGUAAAAAUGAUGCCUUCAAAUUUCAAAUGCAUCCAGCACUUGAUAUGUAAAUUUUUCAAGUUACUAUCUUUUGUAAAGUACUAGUUGAUAAGCAUGUUAACAUAUAUUUUUGCUACUUAUUUACUUA